UGUGCAAAUGCGAAUACAAAUAUAGAAAUUUAUGUAUUUCUUGGUAAUUUGUAACGCAACAAUGUAUCGCUUAGCGUUUUAAAAUUAAUACUUAGUAUCAAAGUUUGUAAAACAAUAUUGUGGAAGUUUUACAGUUGUUUACUCUUGCAAUUGUUUAGCCUAAUUGUUAGUUAUAAGUUUCCGUCCGGAAGUGGCGAAGUGCGCGCCGGUCUGUGAUCGGUUGUCGGCGGGCGAGGCGCGCCCGCGUGCCGCGUUUUUUGCGCGUGCGUUCCGCUCUCAUAGUGCCGACCAAUUACCGGCCAUUAGUGCAGUGUGUAGUGCAGCGAAACAUCACUACAAUGCUCACUGCAUCACUUGUUAAAUAUAUGUGAUAAAGUAGAAAGACAUGUUUCUCAUUUAUCUGAAUAAUUUCACAUAAUUCAAUACUAGUUGUGUAUACUAUUAUAAAACACAAUUCAUGAUAAAUCGUUUUCACUGACGUGAUAAGUUAAAACAUCAGCAAAAAUAAAUUAUAGUUAGUAACAUCUUCAAGAAAGUAGUGAUGUAACAAUGGUUAAAUCAAAAGUCACGAAUCAAUCGCUCACUGACAACUAAUGUAUAGACACAAAAAUCCAGACAAAAUAAUCGUAUGGUUAACGUAACACUUUCGCUCCGUAAUACGAAGCGUCACAGCAAUGCGGAACGAAUGAACGGAGCCUACGCAUCCAUUGUGUACCAGCGAUCGCAGCUCCGCGCCG